GACGAACGCUGGCGGCGUGCUUAACACAUGCAAGUCGAACGGAAAGGCCCUGCUUUUGUGGGGUGCUCGAGUGGCGAACGGGUGAGUAACACGUGAGUAACCUGCCCUUGACUUUGGGAUAACUUCAGGAAACUGGGGCUAAUACCGGAUAGGAGCUCCUGCUGCAUGGUGGGGGUUGGAAAGUUUCGGCGGUUGGGGAUGGACUCGCGGCUUAUCAGCUUGUUGGUGGGGUAGUGGCUUACCAAGGCUUUGACGGGUAGCCGGCCUGAGAGGGUGACCGGCCACAUUGGGACUGGGAUACGGCCCAGACUCCUACGGGAGGCAGCAGUGGGGAAUAUUGCACAAUGGGCGGAAGCCUGAUGCAGCACAGCCGCGUGCGGGAUGACGUCCUUCGGGUUGUAAACCGAUUUCGUCUGUGACGAAGCGUGAGUGACGGUAAUGGGUAAAGAAGCACCGGCUAACUACGUG
rnacentral:rRNA from 1 species